rnacentral:rRNA from 1 species
GUCGAGGGGCAUCGGGAGGGAAGCUUGCUUUCCUUGCCGGCGACCGGCGCACGGGUGAGUAACACGUAUGCAACCUGCCCUCUUCAGGGGGACAACCUUCCGAAAGGGAGGCUAAUCCCGCGUAUAUCGGUUUCGGGCAUCCGAGAUCGAGGAAAGAUUCAUCGGAAGAGGAUGGGCAUGCGGCGCAUUAGCUAGACGGCGGGGUAACGGCCCACCGUGGCGACGAUGCGUAGGGGUUCUGAGAGGAAGGUCCCCCACACUGGUACUGAGACACGGACCAGACUCCUACGGGAGGCAGCAGUGAGGAAUAUUGGUCAAUGGGAGAGAUCCUGAACCAGCCAAGCCGCGUGAGGGAAGACGGCCCUAUGGGUUGUAAACCUCUUUUGUCGGAGAACAAAACCCGGGACGAGUCCCGGACUGCGUGUAUCCGAAGAAAAAGCAUCGGCUAACUCCGUGCCAGCAGCCGCGGUAAUACGGAGGAUGCGAGCGUUAUCCGGAUUUAUUGGGUUUAAAGGGUGCGUAGGCGGUCCGUUAAGUCAGCGGUAAAAUUGCGGGGCUCAACCCCGUCGAGCCGUUGAAACUGGCAGACUUGAGUUGGCGAGAAGUACGCGGAAUGCGCGGUGUAGCGGUGAAAUGCAUAGA